CCUAGGGAGAGAAUGACCCAGGAGCUCCUUCCAACCUUACAGCAAGUGUGUUUUCAGUGUGGUUCAUUCAGCACCCUUGGUGUAUAUGAGGGAUGUAAAGAAGUGGAAUGACUUUGAAAAUCUGUUGAUUCAGGAGGAAGAUGAUCUGUUACCCACUUCAUUUUCAUGAAUGCUUUGUUUAGGAAGACAAGGUCUCACUCUAUCAUCGAGGCUGGAGUGCAG